GCCUCCGCGCGUCAGCUCAGGCCGGCGGAGCCGUGCGAGAGUCCGCAGUGCAGCGAGCCGGCACCCCAGGCACUGCACGACCCCCACCCACAGCACAGGGAAGCCUCUGAACCCCACCCCUCUCCAUCCUUCUGGAGGACCUUGAGGGAAGAGUCUGAGGACCCCUGGGAAGUGAGAGGAGGAUUGGCCCAAUGCACGCCUGUUCGGGAAGACAACUCCCAGGACACUCAACAGAAGAGGAGAAGAGCGACCAUACCACGCAGAUGCGGGACUCGAGAUCGGCAGAGACAGACAGGCGGCUGAAGAUGAUGUGCUUAGGGUCGUAGUAGAAAUCCACCUCAUCCAGCUGCAGGAUUGGCGGUGAGAACUUCUCAAAGCCAUCAGGGAACCUAUAGGAGGUGCAAGGGUGGAGUGUGCAGGCAGCCAGAAAUGCCAGCUCCCCUCAGCUCCCCGGCUUAGCACUCACUUCAACACCACCUCCGACUCCUUGUCCACCGGCUUUAGUUCAGGUCUGAGAGGAGAGACGGAGAAAGGAUUAUUUUAACAAGACAUCAAAGCAGAAAGGAGAAUACUUGGGUAGAGAAGAAGGGAGACAGGAAGAUGAGGGGGAAGGGUCAAGAUGUAUGGAACUAAAAUGUAUGGAGAAAACUAAAAGAUGUAUAGAAAAGACACAAGGAAGCCUGAUACUUAGUAAGCUAAUUUAAAAAAUAAAGUUUGAGCUGGGCAGUGGCAGUUCACACCUUUAACCCAGUACUCAGGAAGCAGAGGGAUCUCUGGGUUCAAGGUCAUCCUGGACUAAAGACUGAAUCCAGGGCUAUCAGAAAAAGAAAAAGAAAAAGAAAAAGAAAAAGAAAAAGAAAAAAGCAUCAGCAGAAGCACCCUGUGCGUGUGGUGGCUACAACUGCUCCAAGAACCUACGGGUUAUAAGGGAAAGUCCCAGUGCCAGGGCUGGGCUACCUCCCUACAAGGUAAUGGUCAGGAAAUACCGGCAAGAGUUAGCUUAGAGAACAAAGUGUCCAGGACCAUAUUUCUCUCUGUCUCUACAUGCGCGUGAGUGCGCACACACACACACCACACACACAUACACACACACACUCAGGUUAUGGCACAGAGAAAGCUAGACAGAACUGAGAUGUAGCUCCUGCUAGCCAGCCCUGGUGCUGGGAGGUGCUCAGCAGGCUGCUGGGGGGAGAAUGGCCACCAACAGUCUGCCUGAGCCAUGGAUUUGUAUGCUACAGCACUGUCUAGUCUGGCCGGGUGUGCCCACCUGCAAGUCUAUUACGGGAUAAUCAACUGCUGAGGCCUGCUCCACAGGAGGGACUUGCAUGUGUACUGUAAGUCAGGCCCCAGCAGAGGUUAGAGCUGUUUGUUAAGUCAUCACCACGUGACCACCAACUGCCUUCUAAAUAACUACGUUUAUCCCCACAGGUUGGUCAGCUGCACUCUGAGGAGCAGUAACUGCAGAGACUCCUAACUUGUCAAAGUGCUGGUGACGAGUGACUACUGAGUGCAGUCACAAACAGGAUGUAGCAUUGCCUCAAGGGCUCAGGGAAUGUGGCAGAGACGGCAGAAGGAACUAGAGCUAGAGCGUGGGCUGGAGUGUUCUGAACAGUCCUCUGUGCAUGACCUGGCCAUGGCGCUCACUCAGAGCUGCCGGGGUUAUUACACUGGAUCUGCAUGGGACGGGGCCUGUCCUGAAGGGCUGAGCUCAUGAGCUCCUCCUACCAGUUUAUAGGCAAGUAGCGGUUGCUAGGGAGGGAGAGACAUUUUCCUCAGUAGUGUAGCCACUAGCGAUCUUCUGCAAAUAACACCUUACCCAUACUCUUGUAAGAAAUCCUAAUGAAGUUAACAUCAUGACAAAGUCCAUCACACACACACACACACACACACACACACACACACACACACA